UACGAGGGGUGCAAGCGUUGCUCGGAAUUAUUGGGCGUAAAGGGUAUGUAGGUGGUCUCAUUUGUCUGAGGUGAAAGCCUUGAGCUUAACUCAAGAAGUGCCUUAGAAACGGUGAGACUGGAGUCCUGGAGAGGGUCGUGGAAUUCCCGGUGUAGCGGUGAAAUGCGUAGAGAUCGGGAGGAACACCAGCGGCGAAGGCGGCGACCUGGACAGGUACUGACACUCAAAUACGAAAGCGUGGGUAGCAAACAGG
rnacentral:rRNA from 1 species